UAGAGUGUUGGACUAGUAACCAGCAGGUAGUCUAGUGGUUAGAGUGUUGGACUAGUAACCAGCAGGUAGACUAGUGGUUAGAGUGUUGGACUAGUAACCAGCAGGUAGACUAGUGGUUAGAGUGUUGGACUAGUAACCAGCAGGUAGACUAGUGGUUAGAGUGUUGGACUAGUAACCAGCAGGUAGACUAGUGGUUAGAGUGUUGGACUAGUAACCAGCAGGUAGACUAGUGGUUAGAGUGUUGGACUAGUAACCAGCAGGUAGACUAGUGGUUAGAGUGUUGGACUAGUAACCAGCAGGUAGCCUAGUGGUUCGAGCGUUGGACUAGUAACCAGCAGGUAGCCUAGUGGUUAGAGUGUUGGACUAGUAACCAGCAGGUAGCCUAGUGGUUCGAGCGUUGGACUAGUAACCAGCAGGUAGCCUAGUGGUUAGAGCGUUGGAC